rnacentral:piRNA from 1 species
AGGAUUGGAACCCAGAGUUCAUGAAGAGAC